AAGCCAUCUUCCUCUUCCUGGAGGUUUCCAUUCAGGCAAGAGACCAAGACUCUCUUCAGAAAUUUCUCUUGAGAAAUACAGGUCACCUGAGAAUCAUUCAAGCCUCCUCCUGAGGAUAUGAUAUGGAUUUUGAUUCACUUUCUGCUGGGGAGAGGAAGUUAGAAGAGUUUUCCUUGGUCUUUUCUACCAUAAUAGCUAAGAUCCAAUCUUUUUCAAUCAUGGCUCUAAUUUUCACACAAGAGACCGAGAGGAGCUGAGGAUUCCGCUGAUAUUACUCAACAACCCACUGGAUCAGAUGCUGUAUUUUAUUCUGGCCAGCAACUUAAAGAGAUAAAAGGUUAUGUGUGUUUAUUUUACUUAUUUAUUUGGGUAAGCGCUGCUAUAGGAGUUUGUUGUCAUUCACUAACCUCAAGCGUUCUGGAUCCAACUGAAACAACCAUUUCAUCCAAUUUUUCUCAAUCUCCUAAUCCUAGAUUAAGC
rnacentral:lncRNA from 1 species